rnacentral:rRNA from 1 species
GACGAACGCUGGCGGCGUGCUUAACACAUGCAAGUCGAGCGGUAAGGCCCUUUCGGGGGUACACGAGCGGCGAACGGGUGAGUAACACGUGGGUGACCUGCCCUCAGCUCUGGGAUAAGCCUGGGAAACCGGGUCUAAUACCGGAUAUGACUCCAUGACGCAUGUUGUGGGGUGGAAAGCCUUGUGCGGCUGAGGAUGGGCCCGCGGCCUAUCAGCUUGUUGGUGGGGUGAUGGCCUACCAAGGCGACGACGGGUAGCCGGCCUGAGAGGGCGACCGGCCACACUGGGACUGAGACACGGCCCAGACUCCUACGGGAGGCAGCAGUGGGGAAUCUUGCGCAAUGGGCGAAAGCCUGACGCAGCGACGCCGCGUGGGGAUGAAGGUCUUCGGAUUGU